rnacentral:tRNA from 1 species
GCCUGGGUGGCUCAGUCAGUUAAGCAACUGACUUCGGCUCAGGUCAUGAUCUCACAGUUCGUGGGUUCGAGCCCUGCGUCAGGCU